GGGGCCGUAGCUCAAUUGGGAGAGCGCUGCGUUCGCAAUGCAGAGGUUAGGGGUUCGAUCCCCCUCGGCUCCA
rnacentral:tRNA from 1 species